GAUGAACGCUGGCGGCGUGCCUAAUACAUGCAAGUCGAGCGAACGGACGAGAAGCUUGCUUCUCUGAUGUUAGCGGCGGACGGGUGAGUAACACGUGGAUAACCUACCUAUAAGACUGGGAUAACUUCGGGAAACCGUAGCUAAUACCGGAUAAUAUUUUGAACCGCAUGGUUCAAAAGUGAAAGACGGUCUUGCUGUCACUUAUAGAUGGAUCCGCGCUGCAUUAGCUAGUUAGUAAGGUAACGGCUUACCAAGGCAACGAUGCAUAGCCGACCUGAGAGGGUGAUCGGCCACACUGGAACUGAGACACGGUCCAGACUCCUACGGGAGGCAGCAGUAGGGAAUCUUCCGCAAUGGGCGAAAGCCUGACGGAGCAACGCCGCGUGAGUGAUGAAGGUCUUCGGAUCGUAAAACUCUGUUAUUAGGGAAGAACAUAUGUGUAAGUAACUGUGCACAUCUUGACGGUACCUAAUCAGAAAGCCACGGCUAACUACGU
rnacentral:rRNA from 1 species